rnacentral:rRNA from 1 species
AGAACGAACGCUGGCGGCAGGCCUCAAACAUGCAAGUCUAGGGGGUGUAGCAAUACAUCACCGGCGGACGGGUGCGUAACGCGUGGGAAUGUACCUAUUGGUUCGGAACAACUGAGGGAAACUUCAGCUAAUACCGGAUGAGCCCGAAAGGGGAAAGAUUUCUCGCCAAUAGAUCAGCCCGCGUCCGAUUAGCUAGUUGGUGGGGUUAAAGCCUACCAAGGCGACGAUCGGUAGCCGUUCUGAGAGGAAGAUCAGCCACACUGGGACUGAGACACGGCCCAGACUCCUACGGGAGGCAGCAGUUGGGAAUCUUGGACAAUGGGGGAAACCCUGGAUCCAGCCAUGCCGCGUGAGUGAUGAAGGCCUUCGGGUUGUAAACUCUUUCGACGGGGACGAUAUGACGGUACCGUAGAAGAGCUCCGGCUAACUUCGUGCCAGCAGCCGC